AGCGUCUUGGAACAGUGGCAGUUCGUUGGGCUCAUACUUGCUUUGCGACCCAAAAGUCCCUGGAUCGAGACCAGGAGACGCUA